rnacentral:rRNA from 1 species
UACGUAGGCAGCAAGCGUUGUUCGGAGUUACUGGGCGUAAAGAGUGCGUAGGUGGUUUUCUAAGUUCGGUGUGAAAUCUCCCGGCUCAACCGGGAGGGUGCGCCGAAAACUGGAAGACUUGAGUGCGGGAGAGGAGAGCGGAAUUCCUGGUGUAGCGGUGAAAUGCGUAGAUAUCAGGAGGAACACCUGUGGUGCAGACGGCUCUCUGGACCGCCACUGACACUGAGGCACGAAAGCGUGGGGAGCAAACAGG